rnacentral:rRNA from 1 species
CGUGGGUAACCUGCCUUAUAGUGGGGGAUAGCCUUUCGAAAGGAAGAUUAAUACCGCAUAAGAUUGUAGUAUCGCAUGAUAUAGCAAUUAAAGGAGCAAUUCGCUAUAAAAUGGACCCGCGUCGCAUUAGCUAGUUGGUGAGGUAAUGGCUCACCAAGGCGACGAUGCGUAGCCGACCUGAGAGGGUGAUCGGCCACAUUGGGACUGAGACACGGCCCAGACUCCUACGGGAGGCAGCAUG